GCGUUAUUCGGAAUUACUGGGCGUAAAGCGCACGUAGGCGGCUUUGUAAGUUAGAGGUGAAAGCCUGGUGCUCAACACCAGAACUGCCUUUGAUACUGCAUCGCUUGAAUCCAGGAGAGGUGAGUGGAAUUCCGAGUGUAGAGGUGAAAUUCGUAGAUAUUCGGAAGAACACCAGUGGCGAAGGCGGCUCACUGGACUGGUAUUGACGCUGAGGUGCGAAAGCGUG
rnacentral:rRNA from 1 species